AUGAGUGAGGGUCGCAAGGCCCAACCUCCCAAACCUGUGAUUAUUGAACUUUUGUUGCUUCGGCGGGCCCGCCCUCACACGGCCGCCGGAGGACCGUCGAAAGGCGUCCUCUGGCCCGCGCCCGCCGAUCGCCAACCACUUGAAAAAUUCUGAAAUACAACCGUGUCAUGCCUAAGUCACAGAUAAAUAAACAAA
rnacentral:misc_RNA from 1 species